rnacentral:misc_RNA from 1 species
UCCCCGUUACCAGGGCGGUCUGAUUAGAAAAAUCCAACUAAUCACGAGGGUUGCGCUCGUUCAAGGACUUAACCUAACAUCUCACGACACGAGCUGACGACGACCAUGCAUCACCUGUCACUUGUCCAACUAAAUGACGUUCUAGUUUCCUAGAACUGCGACAAGGAUGUCAAGUCUGGGUAAGGUUCUUCGCGUAGCCUCGAAUUAAACCACACGCUCCACCGCUUGUGCGGGUCCCCGUCAAUUCCUUUGAGUUUUAGCCUUGCGGCCGUACUCCCCAGGCGGGAUGCUUAACGCGUUAGCUUCGCUACUGAACGGGUCGAUACGUCCAACAGCUAGCAUCCAUCGUUUACGGCGUGGACUAC